rnacentral:rRNA from 1 species
UACGAAGGGGGCUAGCGUUGUUCGGAAUCAUUGGGCGUAAAGCGCGUGUAGGCGGUCCGGUAAGUCCGCUGUGAAAGUCGGGGGCUCAACCCUCGAAUGCCGGUGGAUACUGCAUGGCUAGAGUACGGAAGAGGCGAGUGGAAUCCUGGUGUAGCGGUGGAAUGCGCAGAUAUCAGGAGGAACACCGGUGGCGAAGGCGGGUCUCUGGGCCGACACUGACGCUGAGGCGCGAAAGCUAGGGGAGCAAACGGG